GAUCAUUACAGAGUUGCAAAACUCCCCAAACCAUCGUGAACGCUACCCAAACCGUUGCUUCGGCGGGCGGCGCCCUCGCGCGCCCCCCUGGGCCCGCACCGCGGGCGCCCGCCGGAGGUACACCAAACUCUUGAUAUGUUAUGGCCACUCUGAGUCUUCUAUACUGAAUCAGUCAAAACUUUCAACAACGGAUCUCUUGGUUCUGGCAUCGAUGAAGAACGCAGCGAAAUGCGAUAAGUAAUGUGAAUUGCAGAAUUCAGUGAAUCAUCGAAUCUUUGAACGCACAUUGCGCCCGCCAGUAUCCUGGCGGGCAUGCCUGUUCGAGCGUCAUUUCAACCCAUCAAGCCCACGGCUUGUGUUGGGGACCUGCGGCUGCCCGCAGGCCCUGAAAACCAGUGGCGGGCUCGCUAGUCACACCGAGCGUAGUAGCAUACGACCUCGCUCAGGGCGUGCUGCGGGUUCCAGCCGUAAAACGACCUUCGCAACCCCAAGGUUGACCUCGGAUCAGGUAGGAGGACCCGCUGAACUUAAGCAUAUCAAUACUCGGAUCAGGUAGGAAGACCCGCUGAACUUAAGCAUAUCAAUAAGCGGAGGAAAAGAAACCAACAGGGAUUGCCCUAGUAACGGCGAGUGAAGCGGCAACAGCUCAAAUUUGAAAUCUGGCUUCGGCCCGAGUUGUAAUUUGCAGAGGAAGCUUUAGGCGCGGCACCUUCUGAGUCCCCUGGAACGGGGCGCCAUAGAGGGUGAGAGCCCCGUAUAGUUGGAUGCCUAGCCUGUGUAAAGCUCCUUCGACGAGUCGAGUAGUUUGGGAAUG
rnacentral:rRNA from 1 species